UACGAAGGGGGCUAGCGUUGCUCGGAAUUACUGGGCGUAAAGGGCGCGUAGGCGGACAGUUUAGUCAGAGGUGAAAGCCCAGGGCUCAACCUUGGAAUAGCCUUUGAUACUGGCUGUCUUGAGUUCGGGAGAGGUGAGUGGAAUGCCGAGUGUAGAGGUGAACUUCGUAGAUAUUCGGCGGAACACCAGUGGCGAAGGCGACUCACUGGCCCGAUACUGACGCUGAGGCGCGAAAGCGUGGGGAGCAAACAGG
rnacentral:rRNA from 1 species